GCGGCGAACGGGUGAGUAACACGUGGGCAACCUGCCCUUAAGCCCGGGAUAACAACCCGAAAGAGUUGCUAAUACCGGAUAGGUUCUUUGACCCACCUGGGUUAAAGAGGAAAGAUUUAUCGCUUAAGGAUGGGCCCGCGUCCCAUUAGCUAGUUGGUGAGGUAACGGCUCACCAAGGCGACGAUGGGUAGCUGGUCUGAGAGGACGAUCAGCCACACUGGAACUGAGACACGGUCCAGACUCCUACGGGAGGCAGCAGUGGGGAAUCUUGCACAAUGGGCGAAAGCCUGAUGCAGCAACGCCGUGUGAGCGAUGACGGCCUUCGGGUUGUAAAGCUCUGUCAGGGGGGACGAUAAUGACGGUACCCCCAGAGGAAGCCCCGGCUAACUACGUGCCAGCAGCCGCGGUAAUACGUAGGGGGCGAGCGUUGUCCGGAAUUACUGGGCGUAAAGGGCGUGUAGGCGGCCUUUCAAGUCAGCUGUGAAAUUCCCGGGCUCAACCCGGGGAUUGCAGUUGAAACUGAAGGGCUUGAGUGCAGGAGAGGAGAGUGGAAUUCCUAGUGUAGCGGUGAUAUGCGUAGAUAUUAGGAGGAACACCAGUGGCGAAGGCGGCUCUCUGGACUGUAACUGACGCUGAGGCGCGAAAGCGUGGGGAGCAAACAGGAUUAGAUACCCUGGUAGUCCACGCCGUAAACGAUGGGUACUAGGUGUAGGGGGUUUAGAUACCUUCUGUGCCGCAGCUAACGCAUUAAGUACCCCGCCUGGGG
rnacentral:rRNA from 1 species